UACGUAGGUGACAAGCGUUGUCCGGAUUUACUGGGCGUAAAGAGCGCGCAGGCGGUCGUUCAAGUCGAGUGUGAAAGCCCCCGGCUCAACUGGGGAGGGUCACUCGAUACUGAUCGACUCGAAGGCAGGAGAGGGAAGUGGAAUUCCCGGUGUAGUGGUGAAAUGCGUAGAUAUCGAGAGGAAUACCUGUGGCGAAGGCGGCCAACUGGACGAGUACUGACGCUGAGACACGAAAGCGUGGGGAGCAAACAGG
rnacentral:rRNA from 1 species